rnacentral:rRNA from 1 species
AUUGAACGCUGGCGGCAGGCCUAACACAUGCAAGUCGAGCGAGCGGCGGACGGGUGAGUAAUGUAUGGGGACUGCCUGAUAGAGGGGGAUAACUACUGGAAACGGUGGCUAAUACCGCAUACUAUCGGAUAACCCAUAUGGGAUUAGCUAGUUGUUGGGGUAAAGGCUCACCUAGGCGACGAUCCCUAGCUGGUCUGAGAGGAUGAUCAGCCACACUGGGACUGAGACACGGCCCAGAGUCCUACGGAGGCAGCAGUGGGGAAUAUUGCACAAUGGGCGCAAGCCUGAUGCAGCCAUGCCGCGUGUAUGAAGAAGGCCUUAGGGUUGUAAAGUACUUUCGGUAGCGAGGCGUUAACUACAGAAGAAGCACCGGCUAACUCCGUGCCAGCAGCCGCGGUAAUAC